rnacentral:rRNA from 1 species
GAUGAACGCUAGCGGCAGGCCUAAUACAUGCAAGUCGGACGGGAUUGAGGCGCUUGCUCUUCAUGAGAGUGGCGCACGGGUGCGUAACACGUAUGUAACCUACCUUGUUCAGGGGGAUAGCCUCUCGAAAGAGAGAUUAAGACCGCAUAACAUAUUGAAGUGGCAUCACUUUAUUAUCAAAUAUUUAUAGGAACAAGAUGGGCACGCGGAACAUUAGCUAGUUGGUGAGGUAACGGCUCACCAAGGCGACGAGGUUUAGGGGAUCUGAGAGGAUGGCCCCCCACACUGGUACUGAGACACGGACCAGACUCCUACGGGAGGCAGCAGUAAGGAAUAUUGGUCAAUGGACGGAAGUCUGAACCAGCCAUGCCGCGUGCAGGAAGACGGCCCUAUGGGUUGUAAACUGCUUUUGCAGGGGAAUAAACCUCUCUACGUGUAGAGAGCUGAAUGUACUCUGAGAAUAAGGAUCGGCUAACUCCGUGCCAGCCGCCGCGGUAA